GAAUCUCUUGACAAAUCUCUUAGAAAAUGAGUCCCUUCAGAUAAUGUCACUGAUUUCCAAUGCCCUUAUUAGGAAUAAUUACCUAUGGAGCUAAUCACAGUGGUGACAUUUUUCUUGAAUAGAAAGGAGAACGAAGACAUUUUAUCACUGUAACAUUCAGCCACUCAGAAUCUUCUCCCAGCUGAUUAUGGGGUAUUAUUGCUGUUGAUGAGAUGAAGUGGCCAAGAUAAAUACGUUAAAAAACUCCUGAAAUUGGCUACUGGGAAAAUAGCUUAUCUGACAGAGAGAGGAUAUGCAGUCGCUCAAACCAAUAAUGGCAGGAUGCUUUCAGAGUCGCCACGAUCUCUCUCUGCCCUUGUCUUGUGUGGCACAUGACAAACAGUAGUGAAAAUUAGCCAUUAUUGGCAUUUGUCAACCCUCUGGUUCUGUGGCAGGAAAACGGAAACAGCAGCAAUCAUGCUCAAUUUAAGUCUCUCAUGAUGUCAGGCUUUUCGCAGACUCACACACACAUCAGAAGAGACUCGAAAAGGUUUACAGAUGUGCAGUCGGCUAUGACAGUGAUGCUGCCAACGUGGCUCACGGAUCAACUCAUGAUUAAGAUAUCAAAAGCGAUCCCUGUAACUUGCUGACAGCUGGUUCAAUUGUUUGCACCUGUUUCCCCAGCAUUACACAUGUGUCUGGAAUGGAUUAUUCUGGCUUGCGGUAGACACAUUUCACCUUUCCUCACUGUGACGUCUUCCAGCAGCAUCACUGCCAAAGACCAGGGCUUUCUAGAAGGGCCUGUGGAAACAAGAAGCUGGUGUGCUUUCAGAAGUGAACCUGAGAUGCUGGAGUGGACAAGGUUAUAUCAGUCAAGAUUGGUUCUUGAGAACGGUUAAGGGUGAUAUUCGAAUAGUGCUUGCUUCCUCCAUGAAUCAGGGAGAGCUCUGAGAUCUGAUGUCUCACCGGGAUGCUCUGCCCCCUUAAGAGAAUAGCAUCACCAUUCAUCCAGCCAUCUUUUUUUUUUUCCUUUUGCAUUUUGAGCUGCACCUGCAGCACAUGGAAGUUCCCAGGCAAGGGGUCGAAUUGGAGCUACAGCUGCCAGCCUAGGCCACAGCCAUAGCAGUGCCAGAUCUGAGUCUCAUCUGUGACCUAACCACAGCUCAUGGCAACACCAGAUCCUUAACCCACUGGAGACCAGGGAUUACUCAACCUACAUCUUCAUGGAUACUAGUUGGGUUUGUUACUGCUGAGCCACGAUGGGAAUUCCCAUCCAGCCAUCUUGAGUGAGGAGUAUAAGGAAGUGGGGCCCUGGCCCAUGCUCCAUUCCUUGAACUUUUCUGUAGCUCUGGAUACCUCUCUCACCCUCAGAGGCAAAUUCACCGGGAAGCUGACCAAGCUGAAGCUUCACAUUCUUGCCAUUGCUUGAGCCCUUUCCCAGGUUCUGAGAGCUGCCCUCGUGAGGGGUUCACAUGGUUAUAUAUUUUUGUAAAAUGUGCAAAAGUAAGACAUUUUAACCACAGUGGGUUAAGACCGCUGUUUCUUCCCACUUUGACUUCUCCUCUGACAUCCUUCCCAUCAUGUGAUGUGGUGUUGGAGAGGUUGUGGGCACUGUGAGUGUCUGGCUAGGGGGAAGCUGAGUUGGGGACCUGUUUAGUUUGGUUUAGUGGGAUAUUUUUUUUGCGGCUUUGCAGUCACUUCCGUGUAUGUUUCAGUUACUGCUGGUUUCCAGGAAUACUCCUACUUUUCAUAAUUUAGGCCUAAUUUUGAAUUCAUAGUCGAUAUGCUUUUUCUUAAGGAGGAUCCCCUAAAUUGUAAAGGUGUCCAGCCCCACAACACCUGUUAUCUCCUACUUGCUCCUUGAGUAUGGUCACCGAAUCCUGUCAAUUCCAUCUAGUACCCUGGUAAACUGGCUCUUUUUUUUUUUCCUUUUGUCCUUUUAGGGUCACAGCUGCGGCAUAUGGAGGUUGCCAGGCUAGGGGUCUAAUUGGAGCUGUAGCUGACGGCCUACACCACAGCCACAGCGACGCCAGAUCUGAGCCGUGUCUGCGACCUACACCACAAGCUUAUGGCACCACUGGAUCCUUAACCUACUGACUGAGGCGAGGGAUUAAACUGGCAACCUCAUGGUUCCUAGUCGGAUUCGUUUCCACUGUGCCAUGAUGGAAACUCCCUAAACUGGCUCUUGAAAAACAGAAAUCUCUUGUUUACAGUGUUUGCUAAUUUCUGUGGUGGAUUUCCACUGCAAGAUUCCAAGCUACUAAUGAUUUAACACCAUCUCAGAACAUUUCUGAGUAUAUAAUAAUCAGUCCUUGAAACUGGUAGAAGAUGGCUCCGGUGUGGUGCAACUUCUCCCUCAAGAGUAGGUCUAUGGACCACCUCUUUUCUUGUCUUCAUUUCUGAUUACCUUAGGGUUGAAUUGGAGCUGUAGCCACUGGCCUACGCCACAGCCACAGCAAUGCCAGAUCCGAUCUGUGUUUGUGUCUGACACCACAGCUCACAGCAACACUCAGUUUUCUUCUUUUUGGUAUAGUGGUAGAUGGCUGCUCCACUGAUUUGUGAGGAUGAAGGAGAAUAACACCUUUGAAAAUGCCCUGAAAAAGUUGAGAAUGGCUGCUGGAAGGCAGCAUGACCAGAUCACCAGACUAAGCGUCAGGAGACCUGGGAUGCCUAGGUUUGAUAACUAAUCUUGCCAUUAAGUGUGUGGAUUUAGGAAAAUCAUGUGAAUUUUCAGAAUUUCACUUUCAUUCCUAUGUAUGACUAUCUCAUAUGUUUAUAUAGGACUUGGUCUGAAAGUCCUGACACUUUAUAUAAGGUCCUGAGCUGGGAUUAUUUGACAGGAAGCUGGAUGGGAUACAGAAUAAGUGCCAGGGGUGAGAAGUAGGAGCAGCUGGGAGUGCUACAAAAUAGAAAGGAGAGCUCACAGAGAGAGAAGGGCACCAUUGCCCACCUCUUGCUGGGAUAAGAACCUCUUCAGUGUUGGACAUCCAAACCAGGAAUGGAGGGCCUUAGGGUGGCAGGCAUUUUUCCUGCCUUAUGGGGGCCUUUUCCUGUCCCUACCCUCAUACUUACCAUCCCUGUGUCAGCCUGUUCCUAUCUUGGCUGCCUGUAUUGAUGUCUAUACCACCUGGCUUAGGUCAUCAGCCAGAGGCCAUUGGGUCUGUGUCACAUAGGUAACCCUCUCCACUUUUUUUUUUUCUUUUUAAGUCCACACCUGAAACAUAUGGAAGUUCCCAGAUUAAGGGUUGAAUCGGAACUGUAGCUGCUGGCCUACACCAUAGUCACAGCAAGCCAGAUCCUUAACCUACUGAGCAAGGCCAGGGAUUGAACCUGCAUCCUCAUGGAUACUAGUCAGGUUUGUUAGUGCUGAGCCAUGAUGGGAGCUCCCCCUCUCCACUUUUUUUUUUUUUUUUUUUUUUUUUUUAAGGAGAAUGUUCUGGAACUGGUCUGCUUAAGACAUAUCCUUCACUUAUGUCACUAAGAUUGAACUGAGUCCCAGAGCCCGUUGAGCUUGUAGCUGUAGACUUUCUGACCAUUGAUACAUGUUUGUGGCCUGAUCGGCCAUUUCUGUUUAGGGCUAUCUGAUUGGGUCUUUUGUGCCCAGUUUCCCAAUUUUCCCCAUCUUCCCAGGGCCCUGGUAUCUAGUCUUCCUUCCAUCUUUCUGGAAUGACUUAAGGUGUGGCUUUUCAUCUAAUUCCUGUAUUUUCUUUUUCUGUCAGGGCUUAAACCAAAAUCUGAUUUCUGGUUUUUAUUAGGAUACUUGGUAUUUGACUGUGGUCCUGCCAUAGCCUUAAGGGAAUAUUCUUAAGCACACUCUAUGGAGUGGAGAUAUUUGUUGCAAGAUUAAAAAAGACUUAGUAUGUGAUUUUUUUUUAGGGUUGUGAGAUAUGUGCAAAUGACAAAAAUAACUGGUCAAAAUGUCAUCACCUUUCAGGAAAGCAAUUUUGUGGCCACCUAUGCUUUAACUAAAGCCUACAAUCACUGCCACCUCCAAGCCUGGGUUCCCUUCCGUGGUCUCUGAGUCUACACUAUCUCUGCACUAUUAGCUAUGGCCAAGCUUGCCUGGACUUGGUCUUGAAUGACCAGAGCAUCCCUCCUGCCAAACGAUCAGGCUCCAAAGUUAGUCCUGGUUUGUCCUCUUCUCUCAGAUGGCCCAGAUGCUUACCUUCUGCAAAGAAGAAGUAGGGAGGGUCUUGUGGCAUCACAUCAUAUGCACAUUAACUGCAACAAGUCCAACUCUAGGAGUUCAGAGAGGUAGGGUGGAGAUAAUCUCGCAGAUUUUACCCACCCUUCCAGAAAUUGAUUAUGUACCUGGGUGUGAGCAGGAAAUGGAAGCUAGAAAGCUGUUUCCUUUCAUCAAUCUUAGUUUCCUUUCAUUUCUUCAUGGUGUGAAUGUAAUUAUGGUAUUAAAGAUAAAUUUCACUUACCAUCUGGUCCUUAAGUGCAAUCCAAUUUUAGUAGUAGCUGCUCAACCAAAGAAAUAGUCACCUGGGCCAAAGCUGCAGGAAAACUGAUUUUUUUUUUGGACCUUCCAGAGCAUUCUAUCCAAAAGAACAUUUUAUAGCAAUGGAGAGAAGUUCUAUAAUCUAGAGUAUCCAAUAUGGUAGCAAGUGGGCACAUGUGACUGUGGCGUACUUGAUGUGGCCAGUGUGACAGAGGAAUUUAAAUUAGUAAAAAUUAAUAACAGCAUAGCUUCAUUCUACCAUAUUGAAAAAUAAUAAUAGUUUUCAGUUUCUGUUUGGCAAAUUACCACAAACUCAGCAAUUUAUACACUCCCAUUUAUUAGCUCUCAGUUCUUUAGAUCAGAAGUCUGGGCUACCUUGACUGGGUUCUCUGCUUAGAGCCUCAGAAGUGUGAAAUCAAGGUGUUGGUUGGGCUGGGCUCUAAAUUCAAGACUUUGGGAGAAUCUGCUUCCAGGCUCACUUGAGGUUAUUGAUGCAAUUCAGUUUCUUGGAGUUUCCGUCAUGGCGAAGCAGAAAUGAAUCCGACUAGGAACCAUGAGGUUGUGAGUUUGAUCCCUGGCCUCGCUCAGUGGGUUAAGGAUCCGGUAUUGCCGUAGGUUGUGGUGAAGUCGCAGGCGAGGCUUGGACCCUGCAUUGCUGUGGCUGGGGUGUAGGCCAGCAGCUGUAGCUCCAAUUAGACCCCUAGCCUGGGAACCUCCAUAUGCCACAGGUGUGGCCCUG
rnacentral:lncRNA from 1 species